rnacentral:rRNA from 1 species
ACUCCUACGGGAGGCAGCAGUGGGAAUAUUGCACAAUGGGGAAAGCCCAUCGAUGCAGCCAUGCCGCGUGUGUGAAGAAGGCCUUCGGGUUGUAAAGCACUUUCAGCGAGGAGGAAAAGGGUGUAAGUUAAUACCUUACAUCUGUGACGUUACUCGCAGAAGAAGCACCGGCUAACUCCGUGCCAGCAGCCGCGGUAAUACGGAGGGUGCAAGCGUUAAUCGGAAUUACUGGGCGUAAAGCGCGCGUAGGUGGCUUGAUAAGCCGGUUGUGAAAGCCCGGCUGCAACCUGGGAACGGCAUCCGGAACUGUCAAGCUAGAGUGCAGGAGAGAAGGUAGAAUUCCCGGUGUAGCGGUGAAAUGCGUAGAGAUCGGGAGGAAUACCAGUGGCGAAGGCGGCCUUCUGGACUGACACUGACACUGAGGUGCGAAAGCGUGGGUAGCAAACA